UAACAGCCGGUUUUUUUCUUCACACACGUCGUCUGCGAUAAAAUUUUGAUGGUGACAGAAUUGAAGUAAAAUUUGAAUCGGAGAUAUGGCAGCAGGAGCAAAUGUUGGUCGUGAUGAGGCGUACAUGUAUACCACCAUCAACAAUGCUGCAAUUGCAGUCACCACCACCACUGCUGCCACCACCAUCAGUGCUACUAAUGCCACCACCACCAAGUCUGCUUCUGCCACUGCCAUCACUAUUGCCACCGCCACUACCAAGACCACUCCUGACACAAAGCCCCCAAGUCCUCAACUGACCAGAUAUUGCAACUGGAGAAGGAUAGACCAGGAACUUCAAAGUCAGGGCUUGCCGGUCUCCUACAAUAAGAAAAAUGCCAAGGGCCCAUCUAAUGAACUUGUUGCAGAAUAUUUGGCCACAGUUGUAGAAAAGCAGAGACUAACAUGCAGCCACAGGUGAGGCUUUGUCCACAUUUCCAGAAAGACACAAGAUAGUAUCAGAAAGCCAUGCCAAAAUCAACGACUGAAGGGUUUGGAGAGCCAUACAAAGAGCCUAGAAAUGUGAUUUCACCUGUACUUCAAUCACAUGAACAGCAGCAGGAGCAAAAACAGCAGCAACCACACAGGAGAUGUAACGACAGCAUUGACCAACAGCAACAACAACAGCAGCAUAAACAAUUUCUGCAGGAGGUGCAAAAACCACACCGGCAACCUCAACAACAUCAAGAUGUCCAACAACCACUCCGGGAACAUUAACAGCAACCACAACUUCAGCAAGAGUUUCAACAAACACAUCAACAAAAACCAACAGCAGCAGCAACAACAGCACUUAUGAAAUGAAUUUAAUUGAAACUCAAAAGCCAAUGAGGAAACAUCUUUUACAAAAUGAGACAUCAUUUGUUCAUUCUUUUACAGGAUAAAGGAAAGCUUUUUUGAAAGUGUAAAUUUGCAGGAACACAAUGUAUGUUCCCUCUGUAUCUAUUUAUUGAAAUAAAUUUGACUUUAAAAAGAAUGAAUGAUGAUUCAAUAAAUAUCUACUUUUUAUUUGUCAAUGAGUAAAAAUACAUGUAUUUUCUAUUUAGAAUGACAAAAAGCAAUUUAUCAAAUCAAAAUCAUCAAAAAAUUGACCAAUAUGGCUCUUAGGCCCUCAAAAUUGUUGGUAUUUUGAUGAAAAAGCUGUUUCUGCGGCAAUAUUUGACACAGCUCAAAUAGCUGCGUCAAAUUUGCCGCAGAAAUUGUCAUUUGCCGCAGCUCCUUGAGCUGCGUCAAAUAUUGCCGCUGAAAUUGUCAUUUGCCGCAGAAAGUAUCUGCGGCAAAGUUUUAUGAAACGGAAACUUGACGCUGUUUUAAGAUUUGCCGCAGAAACACAGAUUUGCCGCAGAAAAUGGGAGUUGCCGCUGCGGCAAAUGUUUUAUGAAACGGGCCCCUGACUGACAUAUUUUCUCAGAAAAUAAUACGGUUUUUCGUAGAACUAAGUUGGUUAAUUAGAAUGCUUCAUGUCCGUCAUUAUUAAAUAUGUAUUUCAGUACAUUGUCAAAUAUCAGGGGUAGAUGUGGACUUGUUCAGUAACGGCAAAGCUGCAUUAAAUAAAGCCAAAUAAUAUACACCGGUACCGUAAUCAGAGCGAGAAAUGGGCAUUGAUACCGCCGGUGCCAGUCGGCUGCAUAUUUGCCGAUGGCGAUGUAGGCUAGGUCAUUAGGUGUUGGGAAUCAAGCAAGCUUGAGUUGAAGUUUAAAGUUGGGCCUGGGCCUACUGAUUUUUUGACACUAUUCCAUCUAUUUAUGAAUCAAUAUAAUUAUCUGCAUUUAAAAAGAAGUUAAUUUAGAUUAAUUAUUUAUAUGAACUAAAUCUAUUUGGAAUGAUCGGUAGAUUUCCCUCUGCAUGCCCACUUAUUACCACUGGAAUGAUUUGAGACAGAUUUUAACAUUAGUCCCUUUUUACUACAAAAAAGUAAGGCCCUAGGAUAGGUCUAACUUAGAUCUAGAUUUCUAAAAAUGAAAUUCUAGAUCUGUCUGGUUUGACUUUUUUCUACGAAGAUUUCAGUUAACUUUAUUCUACUUUCUUGUCCCUGCCUGGACCGUUGGGCUUAAGUUAAAUCAUAUAACAGAGUUAAAUGAUUUUUUUUUUUUUUGGGGGGGGGCAGCAUUUCUUUGUCAGGUUUCAGACUGCUCAGUUAUCGUAUACCAUGAGUGCAAUUUUUAUGGGAAGGGUUGAGAAAAUUAAGUGCCCCAUUUUCAAUUUUGUAAGUAUCUAGCAGAGAGAGGGCUGAUCCAAUUGAUUUAUCUCUAUUGUCCUCCUCACUGGACCUUAAUGGUGAAAGGCAAAGGGUCAUUUAAACUUGCGAGCAAGCUAACUUUUUUAAAUCAAAAUCAAACUUAAAGAGGAACUCACUUAGACGUAGAGAUUCACGGGUUUAUAGAUCUAGAC